GGCAGCCUGUGCUGUUCCGUGUGCGCGGCGCAUACGCACCUGGGUUGUCUCGAGCCUGCGGUAGUGGCCAGAUCCCAGACAUCCGAGUAGAUCCCGUGAAAAGGUCUCCCACGUGGGCUGUGGACAGGGCCCAAGGGUAGCAGAGCUAGCAGAGGCAGUGACGGACUGUGUGGCAGGUCAUUUGCAAGGAGAAAAGCCGUCUGCCUCUUAAUUUGUGGCUCAAGUUUCAGAAUUUUUUUCCUGAGGGACUUUAGAAAUUACUUCAGGCUUGCCACCUAACCUUAAACCACCCCCUUGGAGACUGGCUAAGUGUUAUUUGUGUUUUCUGUUUAGUUCUUAUCACCAUCGAUACUUGGUUAUGACUGGUUGUGUACAUUGGUUAGCCCAGCAAGUAUUACUUCUCCAGCUUAACAGAUGUGGAAACUUAAGCCCAGAGACAUGAGUUGACACCCCACCCCCAAAGCUAGAGUCUAAAACCCUUUCUUUCGCUCCUCAUCUCCCACAGGAUAAAAUGCAAAUUAAUCAGACUAGUGGUGAGGCCCUCCGUGGUGUGACUAACCUGCAUCCCGACGUUUUCACCCUACUUUGAUCCAGAAAGCACCUUUCCGCCCCAUCUCUUCUCCUUUCCUUAAAUACCCCUUACAACUUCCUGUACCAUUCUUCCCUGUUCAGCUUCUUCUUGGUUUCUUCGUACAUUCUGGAUCCACCCCUUUCAUGCAUAUUCCAGACCACAUUUCCACUGGAGCAGUUGAAAUGAGAGAGAUGGGAAUGGGACUCACCCGAACCAGAGGAAUUUUUAUUACAGACCCAUUAACAGAGGUGUCAAAGUCACAGGAACAAGGAUGUGCACCUCAGAAACACAGAGGUCAGUGGAAAAUCAGUUUGCUUCUAUUUGUUUAAAAAAUGGGGGACUUAUGCAUAAAUCUAAGACCUUCUUGAAUCUAACAUUCUAAGACCUGUAUGCCACAGAAAGGAGGGUCUCAGAACGCCGGAGGAUAGUAUUUAAAUCUUAAAUAUCUAUAUUGUUCUCCACAGUUACUGGGUCACCACAUAGCAGGCAUUCAAUAAAAACGUGUUUGUUUACUAA
rnacentral:lncRNA from 10 species